rnacentral:rRNA from 1 species
UACGAGAGGUCCAAACGUUAUUCGGAAUCACUGGGCUUACAGAGUUCGUAGGCGGUUUGUUGCGUCGGCUGUGAAAUCCCGAGGCUCAACCUCGGGUCUGCAGUCGAUACGAGCAAACUAGAGUGUUGCAGGGGAGACUGGAAUUCCUGGUGUAGCGGUGAAAUGCGCAGAUAUCAGGAGGAACACCGGUGGCGAAGGCGGGUCUCUGGGCAUGUCCUGACGCUGAGGAGCGAAAGUGUGGGGAGCGAACAGG